GUACUCACUAUUUGCUCAUUUAGGUUCACAUUCGCAUCAACCUGCAAAUGAUAAAGACUGUCAAUUAAAAGAUCUCGUGAAACCAAUUUGUUUAUAAAUAAAUAGAACAAAAAUCUUUAUUGAAAUAAAUUUCAAAGCCUUCCUAUGCUAGCAUAGAUACGAAAAUUAAAUUCCAACUAACUAUAAAAAUAUUAUAACAG
rnacentral:lncRNA from 1 species